rnacentral:rRNA from 1 species
UACGUAGGGUGCAAGCGUUGUUCGGAAUUACUGGGCGUAAAGGGCGCGUAGGCGGCCCGCUAAGUCGAACGUGAAAUCCCCGAGCUCAACUCGGGAACUGCGUCCGAUACUGGUGGGCUUGAAUCCGGGAGAGGGAUGCGGAAUUCCAGGUGUAGCGGUGAAAUGCGUAGAUAUCUGGAGGAACACCGGUGGCGAAGGCGGCAUCCUGGACCGGCAUUGACGCUGAGGCGCGAAAGCGGGGGGAGCAAACGGG